AGAACGAACGCUGGCGGCAUGCCUAACACAUGCAAGUCGAACGCUCGUAGCAAUACGGGAGUGGCGGACGGGUGAGUAACGCGUGGGAACCUGCCCUGGAGUGGGGGAUAACCGAUGGAAACGUCGGCUAAUACCGCAUACGACCUGAGGGUGAAAGAUUUAUCGCUCUAGGAGGGGCCCGCGUCGGAUUAGCUAGUUGGUGAGGUAACGGCUCACCAAGGCGAUGAUCCGUAGCUGGUCUGAGAGGAUGACCAGCCACACUGGGACUGAGACACGGCCCAGACUCCUACGGGAGGCAGCAGUGGGAAUAUUGGACAAUGGGGGCAACCCUGAUCCAGCAAUGCCGCGUGAGUGAUGAAGGCCUUAGGGUUGUAAAGCUCUUUCGGCGGGGACGAUGAUGACGGUACCGCAGAAGAGCCCGGCUAACUCGCGCCAGCAGCCGC
rnacentral:rRNA from 1 species